CACAUAUACUCGUUUAAUGCACAGGCACACAUUUUAGGAUGUGUACACACUUCCAAGGUACAGAGCUAAAAUAGCCUCCUGUUAAAAAAAAGAAAGCUCAGGGAUCAGACCGCCAAACAGAAUUCAGACGGAAUUCACUCAGCUAAAGAAAGUAAGAUGACAGUUGUCUGUCUUAGUGAACGAGCGAAAGCGCGACGACCAAUCAGUGCAAACGGUGGACCUACUCCGCAGCCACGGCACGCGGCAGGAGUUUGGUUUCAAGAUGGCCACUGGGGCUUGACUACGGCGUCUGUGUUGCCGAAGGAAGCUGCGGCAUCGGAAAACAGCAGGCGAAAAAAGAAGGUUCAAAGCUCUGUGUGGAUUUUGUGUUUCUGUCUGAGAACAUCACUCCAAACUUCAGCUUCAGGCAGAGCAGAGCCCACCAUCUCCCCCCCGUCCCCCCACAGCCCCCCAGCACAGACCCGCUCACCACGGCAGCCAUCAUGAACUCCAGCUGAACCCGCGGGCCGGAACCGUGGGAGACGGGGCUGAUAUUUAGAGAUUAUGUGGCAUUUGGGAUUUUUUUGUUUUUUUUGUUUUUAGAGAUUCCAUCUGGAUGCUGCCGCCGUCGUCUCUGCCCGGAAUAUCUUACUGGAUUUCUUCAUCAGACCUCAACUCAUCCUGUACAUCACUGUGUGUGAGGGUCACACACUUUAACUUAGUGUUUAAAUCUGAAGGAAUUAUUAACAAAUUAAUUAAACAGAAGAUUAAAAAUGUUUUUUUUUUUUUGCUGAUUUUACAUGUAAAAUUCAAUUCAAUUAAAUUUCCCUUUAAAUAAUUAUUUUAUAAUACAGUAUAAACAUCUAAUUCUAUUAACCAACAUUCUGCAUUGAAUAAUUUAAUAUGCAAAUAAAUGUACAUUUAAUGAA